rnacentral:rRNA from 1 species
UACGUAGGGGGCUAGCGUUGUCCGGAAUCAUUGGGCGUAAAGAGCGCGUAGGCGGCCAGAUAAGUCCGGUGUGAAAGUCACAGGCUCAACCUGUGAAUGCCGCUGGAAACUGUCUGGCUUGAGUCCGGGAGAGGCGAGUGGAAUUCCUGGUGUAGCGGUGAAAUGCGCAGAUAUCAGGAGGAACACCUAUUGCGAAGGCAGCUCGCUGGGACGUAACUGACGCUGAGACGCGAAAGCGUGGGGAGCAAACAGG